CAGUAGCCGCGGUAAAACGAAGGGUGCAAGCGUUACUCGGAAUUACUGGGCGUAAAGCGUGCGUAGGUGGUGGUUUAAGUCCGUUGUGAAAGCCCUGGGCUCAACCUGGGAAUUGCAGUGGAUACUGGGUCACUAGAGUGUGGUAGAGGAUAGUGGAAUUUCCGGUGUAGCAGUGAAAUGCGUAGAGAUCGGAAGGAACAUCUGUGGCGAAGGCGACUAUCUGGGCCAACACUGACACUGAGGCACGAAAGCGUGGGGAGCAAACAGGAUUAGAUACCCCGGUAGUCCCUGUCUCUUAUAC
rnacentral:rRNA from 1 species